rnacentral:rRNA from 1 species
UACGGGAGGGUGCGAGCGUUGUCCGGAAUCAUUGGGCGUAAAGGGCGCGUAGGUGGCCCGGUCAGUUCGUGGUGAAAGCGCGGGGCUCAACCCUGCGUCGGCCAUGAAUACUGCCGCGGCUGGAGCACUGUAGAGGCAGGCGGAAUUCCGGGUGUAGCGGUGGAAUGCGUAGAGAUCCGGAAGAACACCGGUGGCGAAGGCGGCCUGCUGGGCAGUUGCUGACACUGAGGCGCGACAGCGUGGGGAGCAAACAGG